UACGAAGGGGGCUAGCGUUGCUCGGAUUGACUGGGCGUAAAGGGCGCGUAGGCGGUUCGUACAGUCAGACGUGAAAUUCCUGGGCUCAACCUGGGGGCUGCGUUUGAUACGUGCGGACUUGAGUGCGGAAGAGGGUCGUGGAAUUCCCAGUGUAGAGGUGAAAUUCGUAGAUAUUGGGAAGAACACCGGUGGCGAAGGCGGCGCUCUGGACCGAGACUGACGCUGAGGCGGCGAAAGCGUGGGGAGCAAACAGG
rnacentral:rRNA from 1 species